rnacentral:lncRNA from 1 species
GAGAUCACGGGUUUCACAUUGCCAUUAGGAUAGAUUUUUUCCUUUUGUGCGCAAUUACCUCUUUUCAGGAAUUGCUUCCUUUGUAUUGCUCAGUUUUGAGCCCCACUUUUUCAGUCAAUAAAAUGCAUGUUCAGUCAAAUAAUUUUGUUUUUGUUUUUCAUUACCGCUUUGAUUGCAAAAACAUCCAAUUAUUUUUGAUAAAGAAUCUUGCAUUUUAAGACAUACAGGUCCCU